rnacentral:rRNA from 1 species
AUUGAACGCUGGCGGCAGGCCUAACACAUGCAAGUCGAGCGGAUGAAGGGAGCUUGCUCCUGGAUUCAGCGGCGGACGGGUGAGUAAUGCCUAGGAAUCUGCCUGGUGGUGGGGGAUAACGUCCGGAAACGGGCGCUAAUACCGCAUACGUCCUGAGGGAGAAAGUGGGGGAUCUUCGGACCUCACGCUAUCAGAUGAGCCUAGGUCGGAUUAGCUAGUUGGUGGGGUAAAGGCCUACCAAGGCGACGAUCCGUAACUGGUCUGAGAGGAUGAUCAGUCACACUGGAACUGAGACACGGUCCAGACUCCUACGGGAGGCAGCAGUGGGGAAUAUUGGACAAUGGGCGAAAGCCUGAUCCAGCCAUGCCGCGUGUGUGAAGAAGGUCUUCGGAUGGUAAAGCACUUUAAGUUGGGAGGAAGGGCAGUAAGUUAAUACCUUGCUGUUUUGACGUUACCAACAGAAUAAGCACCGGCUAACUUCGUG